GAAGUGAAGCUGUGUUCCACAGUAGGUUAGCAGAAAGAUAUCCCUUUAAAAAGAGCCACUGGGGAGCCAAGCUGAAGAAAGCUAAGCAGGACAGGAAAACUCCACUUCCAGGUUAAAGUGCUGGGUUAAGGCCGACAGCUAAUAUGAGAAACGGCCAGCAGCAGUGGGGAAACAGGGUUGUUUCUCCACAAAGCCCUUUAGGAGCAACUGAAUUGCACUGUUAGCAGGCUAGCUUGCUUGUGAAAUGCUAUAUGAGAACCAACAGGAGUAGAGGUAGCAGCAAGUUAAAGCAAAGUUAGCUAAUUAGCAGAUACUAGAGAAAAGAUAGAGGGGAGCUUUUACACCUUAAAUAGACCGCCUUAAUAGAGAGGGUGCAUUCCUGUACUGAUACAUGUUGCAGGCAGUGGAGUAUGUCAUAACAUCGGGAAACAUCACACAGCCACUGCAGCCUCCUCCUCCUCAGCCCAGGACAAUUUAUGGCCAGCCAACCCUGGGCAACAGGGGGCACUCAGAGCAUGCCUGUUUGUCUGUUUCCCCGGGGAUUUUUCUCCUCACACGUUGACGUGAAUGUGACAAGUUGCCCCUCAUCAUCGCUAAGUGGAUUGAGCUGUGUGAUGGGCAUAUCAGGCGCCCUCAGGAAAGAUGCCAUGCGAAUCAUUUAAUGUGAUUCUCUUCUGUCGUAAUGGGUGACAAGUGUUUCCUGUCUGUCCACCCACCACCCUCUCAUCCAUCCAUCCGAGAGCACUGCCUCCCUAAGCUUCGCCCGAGGAGACGUGGAAGCAGAGAUGAUAAGAUGGAGAGAUCGACAGGAGAGAGCGAAAAGAAGGGAGGGAUUGAGGAAAAAAGACAAAAUGCCUCUGUGGAUUGCUUCGAGCCAGGAGAUGCCCACAAGUCCUCAAGUUUCUUGUCUCAUUCGCACACAAAGAGAAGGCAGAAAAGUUAAAUGUCUGGUGUGACAGAGAAAUAGACUCUGGCUAAGGGAGAUGCAGGCACAGAGUGGCUUAGGCUAACAUCUGCCCGGAGCUAAUGCCUGCUUGAUUGAACUUUUUGUAUAUCUCAUCUCUCUUUCUCUGUCUUGCACGCACACAUACAUAUAAAAAACAUUACCCAGAAGAGAUGGGAAUAAGAAGUAGCACACAACCAUGUAGAAAACAAGCUGGCUCUAUUUUCUCAUAACUAUGCUAAUUAUUUCAAUUAAUCCAAUGCAUGUUUGGCAUCACACAGCAGUUGAUGCAGUUCACAGCGCAUUAACAGCAAUGUCAUGCUAACUGCAAGUCUGUAGCAAAUUUCUGCUCAGACACUACCAUUUGGCUCAGAUAUCAGCGCAGCUUAGUCUCCUGCGUGGCCUUACCUUUCUCAUCAGAGGGAGACAUGCAAAACUGGCCCAGGACCAGCCACCACCCAUUUGAGGGAAAGGCUUCUCUGGCUCAUUUAAAUUAAAUAGUGCUACCGAGCCAGGCUCUGGCAUU